GGGAAAAGCUCAAAUUUAAAAUCUGGCGGUCUCCGGCCGUCCGAGUUGUAAUUUAGAGAAGCGUUAUCCGUGCUGGACCGUGUAUAAGUCUCCUGGAAUGGAGCGUCAUAGAGGGUGAGAAUCCCGUCUUUGACACGGACUACCAGUGCAUUGUGAUGCGCUCUCGACGAGUCGAGUUGUUUGGGAAUGCAGCUCAAAAUGGGUGGUAAAUGCCAUCUAAAGCUAAAUAUUGGCGAGAGACCGAUAGCGAACAAGUACCGUGAGGGAAAGAUGAAAAGAACUUUGGAAAGAGAGUUAAACAGUACGUGAAAUUGUCGAAAGGGAAACGGUUGCAGUCAGUCGCGUCCGCCGGGGAUCAACCUUGCUUUUGCUUGGCGUAUUUCCCGGUGGAUGGGUCAGCAUCAGUUUUGACCGCAGUUGAAAGGCUGGAGGAAUGUGGCACCUUCGGGUGUGUUAUAGCCUCCUGUCAUAUGCUGCGGUUGGGACUGAGGAACUCAGCACGCCGCAAGGCCGGGAUUCGUCCACGUUCGUGCUUAGGAUGCUGGCAUAAUGUCUGUAACCGACCCGU
rnacentral:rRNA from 1 species